CUUGACCAUAGACUUCUCGGUUUCAGUGGGCCUCUGAAAGACAGUUGUAUAAAAUAACACCAAAAUCAUGAUGCAGGUUCUCUGUUUGCUGGUACUAUUGGAGAAGAGAGCCAGACAAGCCUGUCCUGCUGGAAUCAUCCUGCCUUGGCAUCACGGGCUCCUGUUGAACGUGCCAGAGGCAGCGUCGCCGCCGAGAUCUGCGCUGCGGGCUCGCCUCUGCCCUUCCCGGAGACGAGGCAGUGGGGAGAACAGGAGUCGCAGCCCACACAGUCAGACUCGGGAUGCUGCCACGCUGGAGCAGUUCGGAAGCAGCAGCGUUGCCGGCCCGUUGUCAGCACGCAGCAGCGAGCAAAGCCAGGUCAGUCGGUAGCUUCCUCGUGCACAAGGAGAGGGGUGAAAGAGGCCGGGAUCCAAACCUGCACGUUGUUGGUCACUGCAGAACUUUGUGCCAUCCGUGGGCGUGAAGCAGC